rnacentral:rRNA from 1 species
AGUGAACGCUGGCGGCGUGCUUAACACAUGCAAGUCGAACGGAUUAAAAAGAGCUUGCUUUUUUGAUUAGUGGCGCACGGGUGAGUAACGCGUGGGUAAUCUACCCUUGGAUUUGGGAUAACUCUGCGAAAGUGGAGCUAAUACCGGAUAGUCUGGCUUUAAAAUAAGAAGUCGGUAAAGGAUGCCUCUGCAUAUGCAUUCGUCCGAGGAUGAGCCCGCGUCUCAUUAGCUAGUUGGUAGGGUAAUGGCCUACCAAGGCAACGAUGAGUAGCUGGUCUGAGAGGAUGAUCAGCCACACUGGAACUGAAACACGGUCCAGACUCCUACGGGAGGCAG